CAGUCGCCGCGGGAAUACGUAGGCCCCGAGCGUUGUCCGGAUCUAUUGGGCGUAAAGCGAGCGCAGGCGGUUAGAUAAGUCUGAAGUUAAAGGCUGUGGCUUAACCAUAGUACGCUUUGGAAACUGUUUAACUUGAGUGCAAGAGGGGAGAGUGGAAUUCCAUGUGUAGUGGUGAAAUGCGUAGAUAUAUGGAGGAACACCGGUGGCGAAAGCGGCUCUCUGGCUUGUAACUGACGCUGAGGCUCGAAAGCGUGGGGAGCAAACAGGAUUAGAUACCCCUGUAGUCCCUGUCUCUUAUACA
rnacentral:rRNA from 1 species